AUUUGCAUAGGAUUCUUCUGAGUGUGAACAUAUAUGUGCAUGGCAGAUUAAAUGAAUGGCUUCUUCGCAUUGAAGCCUGAAUCACAGGACAUGAGACAGUUCUUUCUAUAACUUUUUCUACUCUUUGCUGGAGCCAGCCAGACUGUAUGGAGUUAUGAAAUGGGGAAUUACCUUCUAGAUCACUUCCCUACUCCUGUGGGAUAAGGAGCACGGUGGACAUUAGAUGACUACAUUGCUAUUGGAGCUGAUGAAGAAGAAUUAGGAUCUCAAAUUGAGGAAGAUAUCCUUUGUGGCUAUAUGCAUAAUUGUUUAAUCUGUUAGAUUAAUUACAAAUUUUUCUUUCUGUAUAACA